UGGGGAAUUUUGGACAAUGGGCGAAAGCCUGAUCCAGCAAUGCCGCGUGUGUGAAGAAGGCCUUCGGGUUGUAAAGCACUUUUGUCCGGAAAGAAAUCCUUGGCUCUAAUACAGUCGGGGGAUGACGGUACCGGAAGAAUAAGCACCGGCUAACUACGUGCCAGCAGCCGCGGUAAUACGUAGGGUGCAAGCGUUAAUCGGAAUUACUGGGCGUAAAGCGUGCGCAGGCGGUUUGCUAAGACCGAUGUGAAAUCCCCGGGCUCAACCUGGGAACUGCAUUGGUGACUGGCAGGCUAGAGUAUGGCAGAGGGGGGUAGAAUUCCACGUGUAGCAGUGAAAUGCGUAGAGAUGUGGAGGAAUACCGAUGGCGAAGGCAGCCCUCUGGGCCAAUACUGACGCUCAUGCACGAAAGCGUGGGGAGCAAACAGGAUUAGAUACCCUGGUAGUCCACGCCCUAAACGAUGUCAACUAGUUGUUGGGGAUUCAUUUCCUUAGUAACGUAGCUAACGCGUGAAGUUGACCGCCUGGGGAGUACGGUCGCAAGAUUAAAACUCAAAUGAAUUGACGGGGU
rnacentral:rRNA from 1 species